rnacentral:rRNA from 1 species
UGCAGUCGACGGCAGCACGGGAGCUUGCUCCUGGUGGCGAGUGGCGAACGGGUGAGUAACACAUCGGAACAUGCCUAGUCGUGGGGGAUACCGUAGCGAAAGUUACGUUAAUACCGCAUACGUCCUGAGGGAGAAAGCAGGGGAUUCGCAAGAACCUUGCGCGAUUAGAGUGGCCGAUGCCUGAUUAGCUUGUUGGUGGGGUAAAGGCCUACCAAGGCGACGAUCAGUAGCGGGUCUGAGAGGAUGAUCCGCCACACUGGAACUGAGACACGGUCCAGACUCCUACGGGAGGCAGCAGUGGGGAAUUUUGGACAAUGGGGGCAACCCUGAUCCAGCCAUUCCGCGUGAGUGAAGAAGGCCUUCGGGUUGUAAAGCUCUUUCAGCGGGAACGAAACGGUAGCCUCUAACAUAGGCUGCUAAUGACGGUACCCGCAGAAGAAGCACCGGCUAACUACGUGCCAGCAGCCGCGGUAAUACGUAGGGUGCGAGCGUUAAUCGGAAUUACUGGGCGUAAAGCGUGCGCAGGCGGAUUGUUAAGCAAGAUGUGAAAUCCCCGGGCUUAACCUGGGAAUGGCAUUUUGAACUGGCAAUCUAGAGUGUGUCAGAGGGGGGUAGAAUUCCACGUGUAGCAGUGAAAUGCGUAGAGAUGGGGAAGAAUACCGAUGGCGAAGGCAGCCCCCUGGGGUAACACUGGACGCUCAUGCACGAAAGCGGUGGGGUAGCAAACAGGAUAAGAUACCCUGGUAGUCCACGCCCUAAACGAUGUCAACUGGUUGUUGGGAAGAUUGAAUCUUCUUAGUACGAGCUACCGCGUGAGUGACGCUGGG